ACACACACACACACACACACACACACACACACACACACACACACACACACACACACACACACACACACACACACACACACACACACACACACACACACACACACACACACACACAUAUAUACACUAUGUUACUGUUUGUCCUGGUGUGUGUAUGAAAGUAAGGGGUGCACUUUGGUCAGUGAGCACAAUCACACACAUACACAAAAUAUCGACAAGUGUUGAAGAUAUCAGCUGAGUGAUGAGGAGCUUCUUAUGGAACCAAUGAAUAAGUAAGUAAGUAUUAUUUUUCAUUUUUUAUGUGUUUUAAAGCCAGUCAAUAUGUCAGUUAUUCAAUUAGAAAUGUAUUAACAAAAUAAAUAAAUGUUUUAUGUUGCAUGUACAUCAACAACAUCCUGAGCACGACUUAUAUCUAACAUAUUUUAAAUACCAGUGUCUAACAUACAGUGCAUUAUAUAUAAUGGACAUUCAGAGCUCCAAGAGACAAGUAGGCUGAAGAUUAACCAACAUUUAAAUAAUUAAAUAAUACUUUGCAAAGUGUCUUUAGAAAAGUCAAUAAUGAAUGAGGUGGAGGAUGAAGAAUCCCAUCAUGUAAACAAUUAAUUAUUAAUUAUAUCGAAACAGCUCGGAGUGUAAUAUGUAACGUAGAUAUAAGUAAAAUACUUAUUUAAUAGAAGCAAAAACAUUUGGGAGUUGGACUAAACCAUCAGCCAUGUUUGUAAAUGUGCUUUUAAUUCAACUGUAUAUUAAUUACAUUUGAGUUUUAUGGUAACAAUACAGCUUUUAAACAUAAAAGUUACAAUUGUGUAUGUUUAAUUAUUGUAUGUGUGUGAGGGUGUGUGUGUGCACAGAUGCUUCUCCCAUGUGUCCCAAUGACCCAGUGACCCAGCAGAUGAUGCCAAGGUAGUGUGUGUUUAUCUUUUUUUAUAAAACAGUUUUUCAUCGUAUGUUGAUCAUAUAAAAACAUGAUGAAUGUUGGUGUAAAAGCAUGAAAUGCACAUUAAACAUUCAUUUAUGUGCAUUAAAAAAACAUUACAAUGCACUAUUCUGGUGUGCUCUCUUAUAGAAGAUGUUAUUAAUAUUUUAAUCUUAAAUGUACUAUAUACUUGUAGGUCACUUUAUGUGAGACACAGAUUCAAAGAUGGGAUAAAUAAAGUAUUCUAUUCUAGUUUAUUUGUUAUAUUCUUGUUUUUAUUUUAUAUACUUAAAACGUUUUUUGUGUCUUCCCCUGUGCUGCAGUAACACAUACAUUUGUCCUUAGGGGCUCCAAAAACAUUUAUUUGAUCUUAAAGUAGACAAUAAAUCCCCUUUUUAAAAUGUGUUAAGUUACUUUCUUCCCACAUCACAUUUGGGCUUUGAUUUUUAUUCUCCUGCCUGUUCUCCUUCCCUUUGUUGUUCUGUCCUCUCCUCUGUGCUCUCUGUAUCUCUCUCCCUGUUUCUCUCCCCUCUCCUCUGUUUACCUGACCGAGUGAUCCCAUUAUUCCUCCGCGGUAAUACACCCCGGAUUCUCUCAUCUCAUUUGCUUCACUUUAAUUAAUUCACACACAUUAACUCUCUCUGUGUGAUAUUCAACAGCCUACACUUUUAUCUUAUUACUCCGCUCUUCUCAAGGUCAAAGAGAGAGAGUAGAGGAUGGAAUUUAUGUUUAAAAAUGUUUCCUGAUAUCACAGAAAAUACAUAAUUAGCUUUCAUCGUCAGUUUCUGCAUGCAGAGCAGUGUGUUCAGACUCAGCUGUUAUUCAGACAGCCAUGUUGUGUUUAAAGACCUCUGUAAUCAGGAUGUGUCUCUGUUUUUAUGCUUUAUUGUGGGUGUGACUAUACAGAUUAGAAAAAUGAAAAGCACAAAAUACACUCUACAUUUGGCUGAGGUGGAAAGUUGAGCAAAUAGUCUGUCGACCGAAAUGUUACUUUACGCAAUAAUUCAUUUGUUUAUGCUUCUUUCAUGCAGAAUAAUGAAUAAUUUGACUUUACCACAAGAUAUUAAAAUUGUUCAGUUUUGAUGUUUUGUGGGAUAUAUCACUAUCAAAUUUUGUAAGGCCUUUAAUGCAGAAUAACCUCUUCAUCACCUGUUUGUUGUUGUUUGAUAAAUAAGCGUUUUCUUGGUGUUGUUGUUAAGGGUAAGUGAGUGUUUUCUUGUUAUUUGUAUGGAUAAACUAUUGUUUCCUUGUUGUUGUUGUUGUUGUUGAGGGUAAAUGAGUGUUUUCAUGAUUUUGUUAAGGACACAUUUGUGUUUUCUUGUUGUUUUGGUGGACAAAUAUGCCUUUUCUUGUUGUUGGUGAGGAGGAUACAUUAGUGUUUUCUUAAUUUUGCUUAGGAUAAAUGUGUGUUUUCGUGUUGCUGUUAAGGAUACAUUAGUGUUCUCUCAUUGUUGUUAUUGUUGUUGUGGAUACAUUUGUAUUUUCUUGUUGUUGUUGUGAAGCUUCUCGUUGUGUAUCAGCAGAUGGGCGCUGUCCUGUUUACCUCGGCUGCCAUCUGACGCUCCUCACUGCCAGAUACCUGCUGCUGUCAGGACUCUGUUGCAAUACUAUUCAUCUUUAUGAGGUGACGUCAUGGAGGAAGAAGAGACUCCAGCUGCAGAGAGGAGAGAAGUUUUGACCGGGGAGAAGGAGAGGAUGGACGUGGAGGAGGAGGGGGAAACUGAGAAACCAAGCAAGGAGGAGAGAGAGGAGGAAGGAGGAGAGGAGGAGACAGGAGAGUCAUUGCAGGAGACCCUGGUUACGAAAAAGGUUUUUUCCGCAACUACAAGAAGUACGAUCGUGGAGGAGACGUUGGAGGAAACUGAGAAAGCUAAAGAAGAUGAGGAAGGAGGAGAGGAAGAUGAGGCUCAGGCUAAGAAGGUUCUGGGAUCCUGGGAAGCAGAGGUGUCCUCUGAUGAAAAGCCUCCUCUUCCUGACCCUGCAUUCAACAGGAGGUGCAGCCUGAUCGUCAGUGAAGUGAAGUAUAAGGAGGACUUUGAGAAGAUGAGGGGUCAGAGUCUGUUUGUUCCUGGAGCCGAACUCAUCCACUCCAAGAACAUCAGUGCCGUGAUAUCCGAGUCGAAGUACAAAGAGGAGGGGAAGAAGGAGGCGUCCAUGUCUCUGUACUCCAUUUUGCCGCAGACCCCUGAGAUUCAACACGCCAAAGAGGCCUCACAGCUGCAGAGCGACGUGAAGUACAAAGAGAAGAUUUCCCCCUCUCUUUACUCUCUGCUGCCAGAAACCACAGAGACUCAGUUUGUCAAGGAGCUGACGGAGAUGCUCAGCGAGAACAAGUACAAGGAGGAAUGGAGGAAGGAGAUGAGCAGCAGUUUGUACUCUCAGAUGGCAGAAACUUCUGAGAUGCAGCUGGCCAAAACCGUACACCAGUUUCAAAGCGAGAAAAAGUACAAAGAAGACGGGAAGAGGAGGGCCUCCAUCUCUCUCUACUCCCAACUCCCAGAAACUCCAGAAAUACAACACGCUAUGGAGAUGUCCCAGAUGCAGAGUGAGGUGAAUUGUCGGCCCAGUCUUUUGGUGAAAGGCGCUCCUUCCUCUCUGUACUCCCAGCUGACCGACACCUCAGAGAUCCAGUUCGCACGAGAGAUGACGGAAAUGCAGAGCGAGAGUAAAUAUAAGGAGGGCAGCAGGAUGAGCAUCUCUCAGAGUUUCUACUCUCAGCUCCCAGAGACCAACGAGACGCAGUUUGCUAAGAAUGUUGCAGAGCUGCAAAGUGAGAUGCGGUACAAAGAGGCGGGUAAGAAGGGGGUGAACUCGUGUUUGUACUCCCAGCUGCCCGAGACCUUAGAGACGGCUCACGCUAAAGAAGCCUCCGAGCUCCUCAGUGAGGUGAAGUAUAAAGAGGAGGGGAAGAAGGAGAUGAGCAUGAACCUGUACUCCUUGCUGCCUCAGACCAUCGACACGCAGCACGCUAAAGAGGUUACAAACCUGCAGAGUGAGAUAAAGUAUAAGGAAGGAGUGAAGCAGAAGAAUCAGAGCACUUUGUUCCAUCAGCUCCCAGAGACCACAGAGACUCAGCUGGCCAAACAGCUGACUGACCUGCAGAGCCAGGCAAAGUAUAAGGAAGCAGGAAAGAAGGAGGUGAACAGCUGCCUGUACUCUCUGCUGCCUGAAACUCUGGAGACUCAGCACGCUAAAGAGAGCACUCAGCUCCUCAGUGAGAUUAAGUACAGGGAGAGUGGGAAGAAGGAGGCGUCCAGCUCCCUCUACUCCUCUCUGCCCGACACGUCAGAGACGAGCUUCGCCAGAGAGAUGAGCGACAUGCAGAGCGAGACUAAGUACAGAGAGCUUGGGAUGAAGAGCCUCUCUCAGAGCGUCUACUCUCAGCUCCCAGAGACCACAGACACUCAGUUUGCUAAAAGUGUUUCUGAGCUGCAGAGCGAGAUGAAGUACAAGCGUGGAAAGAAGGACAUCUCCUCUCUGUACUCCACACUGCCUGAGACUCUGGACAUUCUGCACGCCAAAAAGGCUUCAAAGCUGCAGAGCGAACUGAAGUAUAAGCAGAAAGGAUCCUCCGGUCUGUUCCACCUGCUGCCGGAGACCUUAGAGACGGCCCGCGCCAAGGAGGUCUCCGAGCUCCUCAGCGAGGUGAAGUAUAAAGAGGAGGGGAAGAAGGAGAUGAGCAUGAACCUGUACUCCUUGCUGCCUCAGACCAUCGACACGCAGCACGCUAAAGAGGUUACAAACCUGCAGAGUGAGGUGAAGUAUAAGGAAGGAGUGAAGCAAAAGAAUCAGAGCAGUUUGUUCCAUCGGCUCCCAGAGACCACCGAGACUCAGCUGGCCAAACAGAUGUCUGACCUGCAGAGCCAGAAUAAGUACCAGGAGGCGGGUAAGAAGGAGGUGGAGACGUCUCUGUACUCCCUCAUGCCUCACACCAUGGACACACAGCACGCUAAAGAAGCUGGCGAGCUCCUCAGUGAUAUCAAAUACAAAGAAAGCAUGAAGACGGCGAUGAGCCGCUCCCUCUACUCCACUCUGCCCGACACAACAGAAAACAGUUUGGCCAGAGAGAUGAGCGACAUGCAGAGCGAGAACAAGUACAAGGAGGACGGGAAGAGGAGCCUCCCUCAGAGUUUCUACUCUCAGCUCGCUGAAACACCGCAGAUUGAGUUCGCUAAAAAUGUCUCUGAGCUGCAGAGUGAGAUGAAAUAUAAAGAAGCAGGGAAGAAAGGAGUGACGAGCUCUCUGUACUCCACUCUGCCCGAGACUCUGGAUACACAACACGCUAAAGAGGCUUCACAGCUGCAGAGCCAGCUGAAGUAUAAGCAGAGUCUAAAGAAAGACGCCUCCAGUCUGUUCCACCUGAUGCCAGAAACCAACGACACCAUGUUCCAUAAGCAGCAGACGGAGAUGCUCAGUGAGGUGAAGUAUAAAGAAGAGGGGAAGAAAGAGAUGAACAUCAACCUGUACUCUCUGCUGCCUGACACCAUCGACACGCAGCACGCUAAAGAGCAGACGGACAUGCAGAGCGAGGCUAAAUACAAAGAGGCCGGGAAGAAGCAAACGUCCUCGUCUCUGUACCAAACACUUCCUGAAACUCUGGAGACUCGGCACGCUAAAGAGGCCACACAGCUGCAGAGCCAGACCCUGUAUAAAGAGGCCGGUAAGAAGGAAAUGUCGUCUCCGUUUUACCACCUGAUGACGGACACUCUGGAGAAUCAGUUCGCCCGAGAGAUCACUCACUUGCAGAGCCAAAAUAGGUAUAAAGAAGACGGGAUGAGGAAUCUCUCUCAGAGUUUCUACUCUCAGCUGCCAGAAACUGCUGAGACUCAGUUUGCUAAAUCUGUUUCUGAGCUGCAGAGCGAGACAAAGUAUAAGAAGUCUGGGCGUCAGGAUGCUGGCAGCUCUCUGUACUCUGUGAUGGCAGAAACUCUGGACACACAACACGCCAAGCAGGCCUCACAGAACCAGAGCCAGGUGAAGUACAGAGAGGAGGUGGGGAAGUCGAGCAGUCUGUUCUCCACCCUCCCUCACACUAUGCAGACGCAGCUGGCCAAAGAGCAGACGCAGCUGCAGAGUCAGGUGAAAUAUAAAGAGGGACACAAGAAGGACGUGUCCUCCUCUCUUUACCACCUCCUCCCUGAGACCGCAGAGAUGCAUCUGGCCAAACACCAGUCAGAGAUCCAGAGCCAGACAAAGUACAAGAAGGACCAAGAGGAUCUUUCUGAGACGUUGUUCUCUUUGAUGCCGGAGACUCUGGAGACUCAGUUUGUGAAAGAGAUGUCUGAGACACACAGCGAGGUGAAGUAUAAGCAGGCUGGGAAGCAGCAGACAGCGUCUUCUCUUUACUCCAAACUUCCAGAAACUCUGGAGACGAAACACGCCAAGGAAGCGACUGAACUGCAGAGUGAGAAAAAGUACAAAGAUGAGGGGAGGAAGGACAUGACGUCGUCUCUUUACUCUCAGCUUCCUGAUACAUCAGAGACUCAGUUUGCACGAGAGAUGAGCGAGAUUCAGAGUGAGAACAAGUACAAGGAGAGUGGGAAGAAGAGCCAGUCUGUCAGUAUGUACUCUCAGCUGGCAGACACCAACGAGAUCCAGUUUGCAAAAUCUGUUUCUGAAAUACAAAGUGAGGCUAAAUAUAAGGAGGCAGGGAGAAAAGAGGCGUGCAGCUCUCUGUACUCGAAGCUGCCGCAGACUCUGGACACGCUGCACGCUAAAGAGGCCUCACAGCUGCAGAGCCAGGUGAAGUAUAAGCAGGAGAGCAGGAAGGAGGCGACCAGCUCUCUGUACCACCAGCUACCUGAAACCUCAGAGACUCAGCUGGCUAAAGAUCUGAAAAACAUUCACAGCGAGGUGAAGUAUAAAGAAGAGGGGAGGAAGGAGUUGGGGAAGAACUUGUACUCGCUCCUCCCUGAGACGGCAGACACAUUCUUCGCCAAGCAGAUGUCAGAAAUACAGAGCCAGACAAAGUACAAGAAGGACAGAGAGGAUCUUUCUGAAACGCUGUUCUCUUUGAUGCCGGAGACCCUGGAGACUCAGUUUAUCAAAGAGAUGUCUGAGACACACAGUGAGGUCAAGUAUAAAGAAGCAGGAAAGAAAGAGGCCAGCAGCGCUCUGUACCACAAACUACCGGAGACUCUGGAGACGCAGCAUGCUAAAGAGGCCACUGAGCUGCAGAGUGAGAAUAAGUACAAAGAGGACUGGAAGAAGUCGAUGUGGUGCAGUCAUUACGCCCAGCUGCCGCUCACCGCCGAGACGCAGCUCGCCGCCAAGAUGACCAAACUGCAGAGCGAGAGUAAAUACAAAGAGGAAGGGAUGAGGAGUCUCUCUCAGAGUUUCUACUCUCAGCUGCCAGAAACUCCUGAGACUCAGUUAGCUAAAACCGUCUCUGAGCUACAGAGCGAGGCUAAGUAUAAGGAGGCGAGCAGGAAGGAGGCGGGCAGCGCUCUGUACCACACACUGCCUGAAACUCUGGACACGCUGCACGCUAAAGAGGCCUCCGAGCUGCAGAGCCAGGUGAAGUAUAAGGAAGGAGGGAAGAAGGAUAUGGGCUCCUCUCUGUACUCUGUGCUGCCGCAGACAGAAGAGAUGAAGGUCGCUAAAGCUGCCAUGGAGCUGCAGAGUGAGAACAAAUAUAAGGAGAAAGGCAGGCAGGAGAACAGCUGCAGUGCUUUCCACCAGAUGGCUGAGACUAAAGAGAUGGACUUCAUCAAACACAUCUCUGAACUCCAGAGUGAGACAAAGUACAAGAAGGACAAAGAGGAUCUUCCCAACACGUUGUUCUCUCUGCUGCCGGAGACUCUGGAGACUCAGUUUGUGAAAGAGAUGUCUGAGACACACAGCGAGAGUAAAUACAAGCAGGCGAGUAAGAAGGAGCUGGGGAACUCUCUGUACUCUGUGUUGCCAGAGACCAAGGACACUCAACACGCCAAAGAGCAGAGUCAGCUGCACAGCGAGAAAGCGUACAGGGAGGAGGGGAAGAAGGACGCCGGCUGCAGUCUGUACUCUCAGAUGCCUCAAACCAUCGAGACGGUGUUCGCCAAAGAGAUCGCCAAGACACAGAGCGAUAAGUUUUAUAAGGAGAAGUUCAACCGAGACAAGGGGAAGUCGAGCUACACCAACAUGGCGACGCUGCCGGAGGUGGAGCACGCCAUGGAGGUGAACAGGAACCAGAGCGAGGUCAGCUACAGGAAAGGUAGAGAGGAGAUGCAUCGCUACAGCUCAGAGGCCAACAGACCCGACAUCAUCAACGCCUCCAAUGCUUCGAAGCUGGCCAGCGACGUAGCCUAUAAGAGUAAGCAGCAUGUUUACAGUGACGGCUUUCUUCUGGCGCGGACUGACAUCCAGCAUGCCAGGGAGGUGUCAAAACUGGCCAGCCAGGUGAAGUAUAAGGAGAACUUUGACAAAGAUUUAAAGGGCCAGCGUCCGUGUUACAACCCUCUGGACUGUCUCUCCUUCAAACACACACAAGCCGCUUCUGCCCUGGCCAGCCAGGUGAAAUAUAAGAUGAACCAGAAGCAGAAGCCAGAGUCUUCCUCAGACCUGCCCAACCUGCUCAACCUGGAGCACGUCCUGCACGCCAGCAAGCUGCAGAGCAACGUGGAGUAUAAGAAGAAGUAUGAGCAGUCCAAGGGUCAGUUCCACACGGCAGUGGACACGGCGGAGCAGAUUCACCACAGAGAGAACGCCACGCUGCACAGCCAGGUGAAGUACAGAGAGGAGUAUGAGAGGAACAAAGGUCGCUCUCAGAUGGAGUUUGCAGACACAGAGCACUACAAAGUGUCUAAAGAAGCUCAGAAGAUGCAAAGCGAGAGGGAGUAUCGGAAAGAUCACGAUGAGCAGAUGAAGGGGAGAGCCUCGAUGGACGUAGACCAGACCCCUGGAUACAUCACAGCCUGCCACGCCAGCAGCCUGAUGAGCCAGAAGGAGUACCGCAAGGAUAUGGAGCGGGACAUCGUGGGGAAAGGCAUGGAGCUGAGCGCUGACGUCCUCGACAUGCAACGAGCCAAGAGAGCCUCAGAGAUCCAGAGCCAGAGAUCCUAUAAGCAGAAGGAGACAGGAAGCUCCUUCGGGACAGUGACAGACACUCCUGAGCUGCUCCACGCCUCCUACCUCAAAGACAUGUACAGUCAGAAGAAGUAUAAAGACGAAGCGGAGCGUCUGAAGGGUCGCUACAGUCUGACCUCAGAGACCCCCGAGAUGGAGAGAGUCAGAAACAACCAGAGGCACAUCAGCUCUCUGCGGUACUGCUGGGACUCUCGUCUGAUGCGAGGCCUCCUGUCUUCAGUCACAGAGACACCGGAGAUCGUCCUCGCCAGAGAGAACAGCAAGAGGAUCAGUGACGUGCAGUACAGAGAGGGGGUGGGGAGCGGCACCUCCGUCAGCGACACCCCUGAGAUGGAGAGGGUCCGACGCAACCAGGAGAACAUCAGCUCAGUGAAGUACAGGCAGAGUGCAGUGAAGGCCUGCAGCGUCGGAGUGACUCCUGAACUGGAGAGAGUCAAACAGAACCAGGAGAACAUCAGCUCGGUGAAGUACCAGCGGGGGCUGCAAGAGCUGAGGGGGCGGAGCUGCAACGAGCUCGACACACCUGAGUACCGCCGAGUCAGGAAGUCACAGGACACCAUCUCCAUGGUAGCGGCUGCGUUGCCGAGGCUCCCCCUUGAGAUGUGGGCGGAGAUAACAAGAGUGACAUGGCACAGGAGGCUGGACUGAGGCACCGAUACUAAAACAGUGCACUGAGUGUGUGUGUGUAUUUUAGUGUGUGUGUGUCCACUUAAGCUCCAAGAAGACAGGGGUUACGGACUGCGAAGUACCACGAGGAAUUUGAGCGUGCGCGGGGCCGAGGCUGCACGCCGGGAUUGGAUGAGCCCAGCAUGGAGCGCUACCAGAGAGCCAAUCAGAUGAUAGGAGAGGCGGUGUACGGCAAAGGGAUGCACCCCCAAGGCAUGGAGACGGACAGACGGCCG